rnacentral:rRNA from 1 species
GAUGAACGCUGGCGGCGUGCCUAAUACAUGCAAGUCGAGCGAACAGAUGAGGAGCUUGCUCCUCUGACGUUAGCGGCGGACGGGUGAGUAACACGUGGAUAACCUACCUAUAAGACUGGGAUAACUUCGGGAAACCGGAGCUAAUACCGGAUAAUAUAUUGAACCGCAUGGUUCAAUAGUGAAAGACGGUUUUGCUGUCACUUAUAGAUGGAUCCGCGCCGCAUUAGCUAGUUGGUAAGGUAACGGCUUACCAAGGCAACGAUGCGCAGCCGACCUGAGUGGGUGAUCGGCCACACUGGAACUGAGACACGGUCCAGACUCCUACGGGAGGCAGCAGUAGGGAAUCUUCCGCAAUGGGCGAAAGCUUGACGGAGCAACGCCGCGUGAGUGAUGAAGGUCUUCGGAUCGUAAAACUCUGUUAUUAGGGAAGAACAAAUGUGUAAGUAACUAUGCACGUCUUGACGGUACCUAAUCAGAAAGCCACGGCUAACUACGUG